GCCAACCAAUCACAGCGCUCCAACUGAGCAUUCAAAUAGUCAGAAUGCCUUUAUAAAGAGAGCCAACCAAUCACCACGCUCGGACUGAGCAAUCAUAGAUAGAAUGCCUGUAUAAAGAAAGUCAACCGAUCACAGUGCUCAGACUGAGCAUUCAAAUAGUCAGAAUGCCUUUAUAAAGGGAGCCAAUCAAUGGCAGCGCUCGGACUGAGCAUUCAUAGCGAUAGAAUGCCUUUAUAAAGGGAGCGGACGAAUCACAGCGCUCUAACUGAGCAUUCAAAUAGUCAGAAUGCCUUUAUAAAGAGAGUCAACCAAUCACAGUUCUUAGACUGAGAAUUUAUAGCGAUAGAAUGCCUUUAUAAAGAGAGCCAACCAAUCACAAAACUCGGACUGAGCAUUCAUAUAGAUAGAAUGCCUUUUUAAAGAGAGCCAACCAAUCACAGCGCUCGGACUGAGCAUUCAUAGAGAUAGAAUGCCUUUUUAAAGAGAGCCAACCAAUCACAGCGCUCGGACUGAGCAUUCAUAGAGAUAGAAUGCCUUAAUAAAGAGAGCCAACCAAUCACAGCGCUCGGACUGAGCAUUCAUAGAGAUAGAAUGCCUUAAUAAAGAGAGCCAACCAAUCACAGCUCUCCAACUGAGCAUUCAAAU